rnacentral:rRNA from 1 species
AUUGAACGCUGGCGGCAGGCCUAACACAUGCAAGUCGAACGGUAACAGGAAGCAGCUUGCUGCUUUGCUGACGAGUGGCGGACGGGUGAGUAAUGUCUGGGAAACUGCCUGAUGGAGGGGGAUAACUACUGGAAACGGUAGCUAAUACCGCAUAACGUCGCAAGACCAAAGAGGGGGACCUUCGGGCCUCUUGCCAUCGGAUGUGCCCAGAUGGGAUUAGCUAGUAGGUGGGGUAACGGCUCACCUAGGCGACGAUCCCUAGCUGGUCUGAGAGGAUGACCAGCCACACUGGAACUGAGACACGGUCCAGACUCCUACGGGAGGCAGCAGUGGGGAAUAUUGCACAAUGGGCGCAAGCCUGAUGCAGCCAUGCCGCGUGUAUGAAGAAGGCCUUCGGGUUGUAAAGUACUUUCAGCGGGGAGGAAGGGAGUAAAGUUAAUACCUUUGCUCAUUGACGUACCCGCAGAAGAGCACC